CUUGAAGAGAGGGAAAAGACAAAGGGGGCAAGGGUGAAGGAGCUCAAGCCCUAGCGAGCGAAACCCUAGCUUUGAUUAGAGGAGGAUCGUGCUCGAGUUCUUGUGUAGGUAAGAAGAACGGCUCCCUCCCUCUCCAUUUCAAAUCUCGAAGAGAGAGGGGAAGAGAACAGAGGCCAAGCUGCGAGAGAGCCCACACCCUAUCAAACGAAACCUAAUGUUGAUAUUAUAUUAUGAGGAUAGGCAAAUCUAACAGGUUUGGCACUGUUUAUGGGAAAUCAGAGAGUUUUAAGAAUGAGAUUUAGUGUUUGGAGAUGAUGAAGGCUGGAGGAAUGAAGCCA